GAUGAAGAACGCAGCGAAAUGCGAUAAGUAAUGUGAAUUGCAGAAUUCAGUGAAUCAUCGAAUCUUUGAACGCACAUUGCGCCCGCCAGUAUUCUGGCGGGCAUGCCUGUUCGAGCGUCAUUACAACCCUCAGGCCCCCGGGCCUGGCGUUGGGGAUCGGCGGAGCCCCCCGUGGGCACACGCCGUCCCCCAAAUACAGUGGCGGUCCCGCCGCAGCUUCCAUCGCGUAGUAGCUAACACCUCGCAACUGGAGAGCGGCGCGGCCAUGCCGUAAAACACCCAACUUCUGAAUGUUGACCUCGAAUCAGGUAGGAAUACCCGCUGAACUUAAGCAUAUCAAUAAGCGGAGGA
rnacentral:misc_RNA from 1 species